UUAAAAAAAUUAACCCAAUCUUCUUUUCUAGUUUAUUUCUACAUAGCUACACAUCAAGAUACAAAACACUAGUGUAAUUAUAAAGUAAACUGUCUGUAUAGGUCAACACUAACAGACAAUGUAGGCACAUAGGACUCGCCGUAAAUGCAUUCUGGCAAAUGUAACACAACAAGCAUAAAGAGCCAACUCUAUCUAAAUAUUUACAUUGCUUCUUACAGAAGCGGUGUAAUUUCCUUUUUAACAGCAAAGCUUCCAUUCCAAUGAAAUUAAAAAUAAAACUUUUCACUUCUGACACCAAAUAAAAAAAAUCAAAAAGUUCCUAAAGAAGAACAUUGCUGCAAGAGAUUUUUUUUGUUUAAAUUGGCUGAUUCCAUCAUUUGUAACAUUCAAGAAAUUGAAGAGUCAUUCACCU